rnacentral:rRNA from 1 species
UACGUAGGGGCCGAGCGUUGUCCGGAGGUAUUGGGCGUAAAGCGCGCGCAGGCGGCCUCGCGCGCCCGACGUGAAAGCCCCCGGCUUAACCGGGGAGGGUCGUUGGGGACGGCGGGGCUUGAGGGCGGGAGAGGGCGGUGGAAUUCCCGGUGUAGUGGUGAAAUGCGUAGAUAUCGGGAGGAAUACCAGUGGCGAAGGCGGCUGCCUGGCAUGUUCUUGACGCUGAGGCGCGAAAGCUGGGGGAGCAAACGGG